AGUUAUAAAAUAUUAUUUGUAUACUAGAAUACAAAUCAUAUAGAGUAUCUGUGCAAGGAAAAUAUUCCCUCUGUAGACACUUAACAAAUUCCGGAAGCAACGUCCUUAUAGAAGGUUUCCCUGUAUGUAUAUGCAGGGAGACACACAAAAGCUAAUAUUCCACAUUAUUAACCCUACCUAAAUGAUUUACUGGAUGCACAUAUGGACUGUACCUCAUUGCUCUCCACUUGUGAAUAUAUUGCUUUGUACUGCUCUGUGCCGUCCGUCCAUGAAGCAUGUCACUUGACAAACGUUUCCUCUGCAAGUAGCUAGUACGAUUCUUAAGGCCAAGAGUAGUAUAUUCUAUUUUUUUUUUUACUGCAAUGAAACCUCCCUCAGUCUUCACACUAAAGCAUCAAAUCCCUCCAAUUCUGAAUUUCCCUCGAGCUUCACAAUGUUCUUCUGAGCUUUGAUGUAAUGUAAUUUAACUAUAAAUGAUAAGGCUGUCUAAAAUUAAACAUAUUCACAUCAUGUCUGGCAGGAACCUCAAACUCUACAAUCCCAGAAACCCAAAGUAACUUUAAAAAAAAUCAAAUCUAUGCCUCAUUUUUUUUUUCCUCCUUCAGGAGCAGAAAAAUUUUUUUACCAAUAACUUCUCACUCCUAGUCACCAAAUUCUAAAUUCUCCUCUCACAAAUGCCUCUUCUGUCACCCCUUUCUCCUCUCCACUGACCCUGACCAAGUUCAAGCCACAGUCCUCCCUCACCUGACCCCCAGGACCGCCUCCCAGUAGGGUGCUCCGAAUUCAGUGUGUUCUUAGAAGAAUCCGUCCUUUGUAUUCGUGUAACUACGUGUCUGAACACGUGACGGGCGCACACGUCCUCCUUCGGAGCAGUUUAGGCGAACACAGUCCUUACACGUCGCCCCAAACUCUCCGUGUCAGCAGCCUUCGUUCCAGUCCGCGGGCCACUCGCGGAGAGCGGUGUGUGUCCCCGAACACCUGCAGGAGCGCCCUCAGAUCUCCUCCCCCGGCUGUGUGUGCACGUGCAUAGGUGUAUGCUUUUCUGCAUCCACAAGGAGGAACUCAUCCGUAUGCCAAGACUAUGAUUAUACUCUAAAGGAAUCCAGAUUGUGUCUGCUCCACAUACUCAUGUUAGCAGGAGGUCCAGCAUAAAACUUUGAGAACUGUACCACCCCAAAUGUCCAAGGUCUGAGAAGCUUACUUGGUCUCAAUUAAGUGGCCUGUCCUACUUACAGAUGCCAGGCCAUGGGGCUUGCCCACGAGUUGGCCUUGGUGUUUGGCGUCAUUGGUUCCCGUUGCUGAGACAGUGUUGUAUCUGAAGUUUGUCUCUCCCUGGUCCUGACUCCAACUCAGUUCACAAAGGAUUUUAUACCUAAAUGGAAUUGCCAAGUUCAGCGAUAAUACACAUCUUCCACACUGCCAACUCUCUCUCCAGAGUGGUUCAACAGCUGGUUGAGCUACCAGCGGCAUGAGAAUUCCUCAUAUUCCACUGCAAAACUUGGUUAUAGCAGCCUUGAAAAAUACAUC